UCUCACCUUUUUUCUCUAUUUUAUCAUCCCAUAAUAAAUAAAUACUGAUCUUGAUUUUUGAUAGUAGUUAAAGGAAUUAAAAUUAAAAUUAUAAAAACUUAGAACAACCCAACAAAAUUUUCUUUAUUUUUUUCAGUAAUGGCAUCACUCAUUAGAAACUCUCUUAGAACUACUAGUGCUAAACUUAUUGACCCAUCAUUUUCAUGUGUAUUUUACCAUGCUUCAUUUCAUCAUUGUUCUCCAAAUUUCUCAACUUUAUUUGCUCCAUCUCCCCCAAUUGAAGAAAAGUUAGAAUCUUUCCCUUCAGUUGAUGGUAAAUUUGAUAAAAAGGAACAAUCUUUGGACUCACCUAGGCAAUAUAAUAUCGACAUUCUUGUGUCGAAAUUUCGGGUUGGGAGUAGCCCUGAUGAGAUUCUUGAAUCACUUGUGGAUGAUGAGUUGUGUGAUAGUGUACAUUUGUCUCAUGAACUUGUUGAGAAGUUGUUGUUUCGGUUUAAGGAUGAUUGGAAAUCGGCGUUGGGCGUGUUUAGAUGGGUGGAAUUGCGCGCGGGGUAUAAGCAUAAGGCGGAGAAUUAUGAUACGAUGGUUGAUAUAUUGGGGAAGAUGAAACAAAUGGAUCAGAUGAGGGUGUUGUUGGAGGAAAUGGAGAGAAGUCGGGUUGUUACGCUUAAGACGGUUGGCAAGGCUAUGAGAAGGUUUAGUGGGGCGGGACAGUGGGAAAAUGCGGUGAGGAUGUUUGAUAAAUUAGAAAGUUUUGGAUUGGAGAAGAAUACUGAGUCGAUGAACUUAUUGCUCGACACUCUUUGUAAAGAACGUAAGGUUGAGCAAGCCCGUGAGAUCUUUUUGAAACUCAAGUCGCACAUUUCUCCGGAUGCAAACACGUUUAAUAUUUUUAUUCAUGGUUGGUGCAAAGUUAAUCGGGUUGAAGAAGCGGAUUGGACAAUCCAGGAAAUGAAAGGACAUGGCUGUGUUCCUUGUGUCAUAAGUUAUUCAACCAUCAUCCAAUUCUAUUGUCAUAGAUGCAAGUUUAGCAAGGUCUAUGAAAUCCUUGAUGAAAUGGAAGCCCAAGGGCUAAUACCGAAUGUUGUCACUUACACCACUGUCAUGAGUGCGCUAGCAAAGUCGGAGGAGUAUGGAGAGGCGUUACAAAUAGCACAUAGGAUGAAAUCAGUCGGAUGCAAACCCGACGCACUUUUUUACAAUUCUUUGAUACAUACACUAGGGCGAGCUGGCAAACCGGAGGAGGCUGUUCGCGUAUUUGAGGUAGAGAUGCCAAAUGCUGGUGUUUCCCCAAAUACAUCUACUUAUAAUACAAUGAUUGCUAUGUUAUGUUAUGAUGCACAAGAACGACGGGCCUUGAAUCUUCUUAAGAAGAUGGAAACUUCGAUGAUAUGUAAGCCUGAUGUUCAGACUUACUACCCAUUGCUUAAGUCGUGUUUUAGAACUGGAAAGAUAGAUUGUUUGUUGAGUCAACUAUUGGAUGAUAUGGUUAAGAAGCAUCACCUAAGUCUUGAUAUCUCAGCCUACACUCUUUUAGUUCACGGGCUUUGUCGAGCAAACAGAUGUGAGUGGGCUUACCGCCUGUUUGAGGAAAUGCUUGGUAAAGAUAUGACACCAAAAUAUCAGACUUGCCGUUUGCUUCUGGAUGAAGUCAAAUUAAAGCAUAUGUAUGAUGCUGCUCAGAGAAUUGAAAUUGCCAUGCAGAAAAUAUAAUCCAAAACGGAAGAAUGCCCUGAUGCAUGUGCAAAUCACUGCUGACCAAGCAAUUGGUAAACUGGAUGUAAAACCUGUCAAAGUGCUUGGGGCCGUGCCAAGGUCUUGAGAAUUGAGAUCAACAGGGGAUAUUAUUUACGAAUGAAAAUCCUGAAUUAUGACUUGAAUCCUGGAUGUCUUUCCAAGAUCACCUGCGUGGUUAGCAACCUGCAUGGACCGGUAGCUAAGUAAGAAACCAAAAUGACCAAUAUGUGCAGAAAAAAAACUUGCUACAGUGCUUCGAGAGUUAUGCUACUAUGUGAUUGAUGCAGUUACAUUUGAUACAUCAUUUGUCAAUGUAUCUUUGUUCGGUUUUCGAUAUUGCUAAACAGUCACUGAAGAGUUGGAAAGUAGAUAUUAAAAGCAAGGGUCUGCAAAAACCGAAUGCCGAAUGGUCGCACCGAAUCAAACCGGUAAAUUUGGUUAUGUUUCGUUUGUUGAUAUGAUUUUUUUUCAACUUCUUGGUUCGGUUUUGAGAGUAACAAAGUUUUAGUUAAUUUUUGGUACAGACCAAAUCAUACCAGAAAAUCAAACUGAACCGACUAGUCUGAUUCGGUUCAGCUUAGAAAAACAUAUUUCUUAUAAACUCGGUUCGAUUUGGUUUGGUCAGAACCGGAUGCACACCCCCUUUAAAUAUAAGAGUAAGUCAAGUUAGAAAGA